GAUUAACGCUGGCGGCGUGCAUAACACAUGCAAGUCGAACGAUGAGACUUUAAUGAACCCUUCGGGGAGAAUUAAAGCGGAUUAGUGGCGAACGGGUGAGUAACGCGUGAGUAACCUGCCUUACACAAGGGGAUAGCCUUUGGAAACGAAGAAUAAUACCCUAUAAAACCAUAAAAGCACAUGCAAUUAUGGUCAAAGUGAUAGAGGUGUAAGAUGGACUUGCGUCUGAUUAGCUAGUUGGUGAGAUAAAAGCCCACCAAGGCAACGAUCAGUAGCCGGCUUGAGAGAGUGUACGGCCACAUUGGGACUGAGACACGGCCCAGACUCCUACGGGAGGCAGCAGUGGGGAAUUUUGCACAAUGGGGGAAACCCUGAUGCAGCGACGCCGCGUGAUUUAGAAGGCCUUCGGGUUGUAAAAAUCUUUUGUAUAGGAAGAAAAUGACAGUACUAUACGAAUAAGGUCCGGCUAAUUACGUG
rnacentral:rRNA from 1 species